rnacentral:rRNA from 1 species
AAUCAACGCUGGCGGCGUGCCUAACACAUGCAAGUCGCACGAGAAAGUGGGGGCAACUCCAUGAGUAAAGUGGCGUACGGGUGAGUAACACGUGACUAACCUACCUUCGAGUGGGGAAUAACCUCGGGAAACCGGGGCUAAUACCGCAUAAUAUCUAUGGAUCAAAGCAGCAAUGCGCUUGAAGAGGGGGUCGCGGCCGAUUAGCUAGUUGGCAGGGUAGUAGCCUACCAAGGCGACGAUCGGUAUCCGGCCUGAGAGGGCGCACGGACACACUGGAACUGAAACACGGUCCAGACUCCUACGGGAGGCAGCAGUGGGGAAUUUUGCGCAAUGGGGGAAACCCUGACGCAGCAACGCCGCGUGGAGGAUGAAGGUCUUUGGAUUGUAAACUCCUUUCGAUCGGGACGAUUAUGACGGUACCGGAAGAAGAAGCACCGGCUAACUCUGUGCCAGCAGCCGCGGUAAUACAGAGGGUGCAAGCGUUGUUCGGAAUUAUUGGG